GCAGUAGCCGCGGUAAUACGAAGGGGGCUAGCGUUGUUCGGAGUUACUGGGCGUAAAGGGCGCGUAGGCGGCCAUUCAAGUUAGAUGUGAAAGCCCUGGGCUCAACCUAGGAAUUGCAUUUGAUACUGUUUGGCUUGAGUUCGGGAGAGGUGAGUGGAAUUCCCAGUGUAGAGGUGAAAUUCGUAGAUAUUGGGAAGAACACCAGUGGCGAAGGCGGCUCACUGGACCGACACUGACGCUGAGGCGCGAAAGCGUGGGGAGCAAACAGGAUUAGAGACCCCAGUAGUCCCUGUCUCUUAUAC
rnacentral:rRNA from 1 species